rnacentral:tRNA from 1 species
GCCUUCCUGGUGUAGUGGUCCUGCACGCUGGACCAUUAUUCCAGAGGUCCGUGGUUCGAUUUCUUGCGAAGGCG